UUCUAUGGGCAAUGACAGUAUUGCAGCCAAUGAGGUUAAUCCAAGGUACAAUUAUUGCUAAUUGAAACUUUUUGGUAUCCAAAAGUAUAAACCUUCCCAGCAACACGAUAUGAUUCUUUCCUCAAUCUUCUUCAAGUGGGUAGAGGUGGAAUAUAGUAAUACAUAAAUAAGG